CUGAAAUAGUUCCUUAUUAGUGGUUAAUAUUUUGAUAUUCUAGCUGGUUCCUAUGUGUUUCCUCUGACUUUGUGAAAUUGUAUCAAAUAUCCCUGACACUUUUUCUUCCUCUCUUAAAGAUUGUGCAUUUCUCCUGGUUCUACAGCCCCUUGCCCAUUCUGAACCUAAACAGCAGGACCUGAGAUGUCCCGAGAUGUUGCUCUUUCUCUCCACAACCCAUGCCUGUGGGAUCUGUGCUCAGAGAUUGGCCAGGAGGAGGAUUUCACACCGUCUUACUCUGAGCGUCUCUGUUUCUCACCCUUCCUUUUUCUCUAGGCUCAUUUAUGUCUCAUUUAAAUUUCUGCUUUUUAUCUUCUCUGUCCUCUACCUUUCACGUGUUUGAAGUCCACACUCAGGUUUUUUCCGUUUGUUUAGCUUCUCUGCAUCUAACUUGUUUACUUGAGUUAACUCAUCUAUAAAAUGGACAUAGUACUAGCCUUUACUGCAUCAAAGUAGUGUUGGUGAUCAAAGGAGUGUGCAUGCAAGUGCUUUGGAAAACAACAAAAAAAGAUUUGGCUGUGAAAAGAUGUUAUCUGUAAUUGAUUCUAAUUUAAUGAAACGUACCAAUCAAUAAUACAUAUGUUCUUUAUUUUAAGCAAUCUUUAUUAAAAGCAUGACGCAGUUUAAAUAUUUGGUUGGUGUUGGUUAUCAGAGGAUUUGCCAUAUAUCUUUCACCCCUUAUUCAUCUUUUGGGUGUCCUUUGAAUCUUCUCUGCAUUGUCUGAAAUCUCAGAGGGUCAGAGUGAGCUCUGAAGAGCUUCCCCUGGCAGUUCCAUAUGAUUCACUGUACAUGUGAUUCACUGUCUGUCUUCCCCCAGGGAGAGAGGACUUAGGAACAGGUAGUGUGCAGUUGAGGUCCUCACUUUAAACUCAGCUCAGCACAACUCCCUGAGGGAUCUGAUGUGGAAGUGCUGUCUUGGGCAAGUCCCCUCUCUGCUGUGCCUAACACUGCAUUCCUGGGACAGCAGUUUAUAGCUGGCUGUGGAGCUGCUGCCCUGCUUCUUUCUCCAGGGUCCUUGGAGGCCCCUCUUUUCCUUUGCUCACCUGACAGAUGAAAUAAUCCCCAGGGGCAUCUGGGAUCAUUCUCGCAGGUGUGGUUGGAGCUGUGAACACAGGCUAUGUCAGAGGUUUGCCUAACUAUAAGUGAACCUGUCAGAGCAGAACCAAGGUGCCAGGGCCACCUGCAGAAGAGAGGUGAAACUCUCAGUCAGCGCCUGCUCCCUUGCCCGCUUGAGAAAUCCACACCAACCUGCUCUUUAACAGGAUGGUACAGCGGGAGUGGGCGUGGCUCAGAGAAAGCAGCAUUGGUUCCUGAUGACUCUGGGGCCGGGAAGGAGUGCUCUGAACAGACCUGAAGUCUGAUUCCAGCGUGACAUCUGGGCAAGUUUGUUUCCAGUCCGAGCCUGCUUGCAGCUAUAAAAUGAGGAGAGAGAAACCUGCCAAAUAAGAUUCCUUCAAGCAUCUAAGUGAGGCAGCAGUCAGUACCACCUCCUAAUUUCUGUGACCGAGGACCAGAGAAGACAGGAUGGGUGUGUGAUGCAAGCAGAGGGAGGGGGGUUGAAAAGGGAACGAUUAUAAUGGGAAGGUGAUGAGAGCUAUAUCUGUACACUAUGGCUUAAGCAGUGACAAGAAUACAGAGAGGUGUAAAUGCCAGGGUGGGAGAUGAGAAGCAGGGAGAGUGGGAAGAAAGCCUGGGCCGGAAAUGGAGUGUCCUUGUCCUGCCUGUCAUGCUUUCUGGGAGCUCAGCAUGACAAUCAGCUUCUUGUACACACUUUCCCUUCUAAGAUGGUGAUCCACAGAGCCUUGCUGAGCUAGAUAUGGCAAGAGUAAUAAUAGCAGGUACCAUUAUUGAGCCAGUCUGGGGAGUAGGUUCUCUCACAGCCACACUGUGCAGUGUUUCUGAGAAGAGUCCAGAGCCCAGAGGUGGGUUGGUGUCCUGCGCCUCCGUCAUUAACUGCUUUUGUACUCUGUCUCUCCAAUGAGAUGGUCAGCUAAGGUGGAAGCAGAUUGUUAUUUUUUGUCUCCCCUCCUGUCCUUAGCACGGUGCUCUGAAUGUUGGUGUUUGGUGAACAUUUAAUCAAAAAUAAAUGUAUUAUUCUGGAGCAC
ensembl:lncRNA